rnacentral:rRNA from 1 species
AACAAACGCUGGCGGCGUGCCUAAUACAUGCAAGUCGAACGGGGAAAGUAGCAAUAUGAGUACUAGUGGCGCACGGGUGAGUAACGCGUGGAUAAUCUGCCUUGAAGAGGGGGAUAACUAGUCGAAAGAUUAGCUAAUACCGCAUAAGACCACAGGAACUGAGGUUCAAGGGGUCAAAGGUUUUUCGCUUCAAGAUGAGUCCGCGUAAGAUUAGCUAGUUGGUGAGGUAAUGGCUCACCAAGGCAACGAUCUUUAACUGGUCUGAGAGGAUGAUCAGUCACACUGGAACUGAGACACGGUCCAGACUCCUACGGGAGGCAGCAGUAGGGAAUAUUGCACAAUGGAGGAAACUCUGAUGCAGCGACGCCGCGUGAGUGAUGAAGGCCUUCGGGUCGUAAAGCUCUGUCGCAGGGGAAUAACACAAUGAAUGUACCCUGUAAGAAAGGAUCGGCUAACUUCGUG